GUAUUUGGAAGAACUUGAACAAGGAAUCAGCGAGGAUUACAGAGUCGCAAAAUUUGUAUUUCGUUGUGGUAUUAAUCCUGAAUUAUGUGUUCGUGUAACGUUACAUUAUUCAUGUAAGUUUAACUCUUUAUAAAAAUAUAUAAUUUUCACACGACGUCAACAUGAACAGAAAAACAAGGCAGAUAUGUUGGAACUUUUCCAAUGUCCUGUAAUAAACCUGUAUUGAGGCUACGGCCAGUGUGCGCAUGCGCACGACCCACAAUUCACUUCUUCCUCGUGUCUCUUUUGGAAGAGUUCCUUAACGUGGUCUUUCUCGUCUCUCCGUUGGAAGGGUAAGGUUAGAGGAGUGUCCGACUGAAGCACCUGGUUUGAAAAGAGCACAAAACCCCAGGAGGAGCGGAAAUGGGAAUUCUGAGCUGCAGAAAUGGAGCGCCUCUCAUGUUAAAAGUACUCGGACUGGACUCCCAGCCACCGGAUUGAGAUGUUCUGUGCUGAAACUGUGAAGGUUAGAGGAGUGUCCAACUGAAGCACCUGGUUUGAAAAGAGCACAAGACCUCAGCAGGAGCUGAAAGAACGCACGAGCUGAGAAAAUAAGAUGACGUGCCAUGUCAAGUGCCCGGGUGCUGCGGAUGUGUCCUGAAGUCCAGAUGAGCAGCAUGUGUGCGUUCAACACGGACACGUUUUUAUCUGCCCUUAUGUUUGAACUUUUCUUUGUGCUACUUGGUGUUGACUGUAACGUCGUCUUAGAAAUUUAUAAAGUUGCUUGUCAGAUCUUUUCUGUGAAGUAAAUAAAAAAUAAUAAAGAUGGAGAAAUAGUGUGUUCAAACUUUA